UCCUACGGGUGGCUGCAGUCGAGAAUCAUUCACAAUGGGGGAAACCCUGAUGGUGCGACGCCGCGUGGGGGAAUGAAGGUCUUCGGAUUGUAAACCCCUGUCAUGUGGGAGCAAAUUAAAAAGAUAGUACCACAAGAGGAAGAGACGGCUAACUCUGUGCCAGCAGCCGCGGUAAUACAGAGGUCUCAAGCGUUGUUCGGAAUCACUGGGCGUAAAGCGUGCGUAGGCUGUUUCGUAAGUCGUGUGUGAAAGGCGCGGGCUCAACCCGCGGACGGCACAUGAUACUGCGAGACUAGAGUAAUGGAGGGGGAACCGGAAUUCUCGGUGUAGCAGUGAAAUGCGUAGAUAUCGAGAGGAACACUCGUGGCGAAGGCGGGUUCCUGGACAUUAACUGACGCUGAGGCACGAAGGCCAGGGGAGCGAAAGGGAUUAGAUACCCUAGUAGUCACA
rnacentral:rRNA from 1 species